rnacentral:rRNA from 1 species
AGCAGCCGCCACGGUAAUACGUAGGGUGCGAGCGUUAAUCGGAAUUACUGGGCGUAAAGCGUGCGCAGGCGGUGAUGUAAGACAGAUGUGAAAUCCCCGGGCUCAACCUGGGAACUGCAUUAGUGACUGCAUCGCUGGAGUGCGGCAGAGGGGGAUGGAAUUCCGCGUGUAGCAGUGAAACGCGUAGAUAUGCGGAGGAACACCGAUGGCGAAGGCAAUCCCCUGGGCCUGCACUGACGCUCAUGCACGAAAGCGUGGGGAGCAAACAGGAUUAGAUACCCCCGUAGUCCCUGUCUCUUAUAC